rnacentral:lncRNA from 1 species
CCCAACCUUCCUUAUUUCCCAUAUAUGCCUUACUCCAAAAUUCUCUUCUCAAAGUCUUUAUAAUUAAACCUCAUUGGUUAAAUUAUUUGUGAACGUGGAAAGGCUGACUUAACGUUUUCUCGUGAGGGACGGAAUCGUUGAACGUUAAGGCCGCAUGAUUCUAGUUGUUCGGGUGUAACGAAACUAGGUCUGUGACAAGUGGUAUCAGAGCCUCAUUUGUAGGCUGUUAUAAUGGCGGAUUCUCAACAAACUGUUGAUAUUGAGAUUGAGGAGAGCGGUCGAGGUGCUGCCCAAGCUGAAGUAUGGAAAACUCGAGGCAAAAGUAAAACGAGGGAAGCUACCAACAUGGAGGGUAAACUUGACCAAAUCCUCGCAAAUAUGGGUGAUCGGGUCGAAUAUCUUGAAAGCUCCUUCGAGGUGUUGGAGGGACACGCCAUUGGAAAGUUAGAAACUCUACAAAUUAAUGUCCAAGAGGUGAUGGACACACAAGCAUCGUUGGAAAAUGAUGUCCAAACGAUGAAAGAUGAUGUUCGAGUUGUGGUAGCCGGACAAGCCGCGACGACAGAUGAUUUUGGUCGUCUCCAAACUAAAGUCUUAGAUGCCGUUUCUGCCAUGCAUGGCCAAGUUAACCAAUUGCCCGUGAUGAUGGAAAGAAUGAGCAAAGAGAUUGAUUAAUACAAGCAAUCCACUGCCAGUACAAGCGGAGGUGCCGCUUCAACUAUUGUUGCCCCGAGGAUUGAAUACCCGAAACCUAAACAUUAUGAUGGGCGACAGGAUGCCAAAGAUGUGGAAAACUUCCUAUGGCAAAUGAAAGUCUACUCUAAAGGCGUAAAUCUUGUUGAUGAAGCCAUGAAAGUUCGGACCGCUUCUAUGUAUCUUACUAACACCGCAUCUCUUUGGUGGCGUCGUAAGCAUGCUGAUGUUGAAAAUGGAGCUUGUAGAAUUGAUACUUGGGACGAGUUCAAAAGGGAGCUAAAAGGCAAUUUUACUGAGAGAACAUUGUGUACGAGGCUCACAAGAAACUAAGGGAAUUGAAACAAAAAGGGACCAUUCGUGACUAUGUUAAAGAGUUCACGACCCUUAUGCUUCAAAUCCUGAGCAUGUCGGAGGAUGUCUUGCUAUUCUAUUUCAUGGAUGGAUGUACAACAUGGGUGCGGCAAGAAUUACAACGUCGCGGGGUCAAAAAUGUGGAUGAGGCAAUUGCGGAUGUCGAAUCUUUAACGGAGUUCCAAAGGAGUACAGAGUCGCAAGCAAGGACUUUCAAACCAACUAAAGAGAAUUUUAGCAAAGACGGAGGUGAUGUACGAAAAGAUAAACAACGAAGUAAACUGGAUUGGAGGCCAAAUCCCAAAGUUGAUUACAAACCCGGUGGCAACAAACCAACUACUUGGCAGAAGAAGUAUGAUGAUAAAAAGACAGGUAAUUUUGCUCAUCGUAGUUGCUUCAUUUGCAAAGGGCCACAUCUCAUGCUAGAUUGCCCCUAAACUUGGAUCCUUGUCAUCUAUUACAGUGACUUAACCAGAGGCUUCCCAUGGCAAGGAGAAAGGUGCAAGUCACAUGGGUUCAUUGCAACUUUUCAAUGUUUUGAAUGCUAAAACUGUUCCGGGGACGAACGGAGAAAAAUGAUUGAUGUUCGUACUUGCCGAAAUCAAUGGACGGCAAACACGGGCAUUAGUUGAUACCGGAGCCAUGCACAAUUUCAUCAUGGAGGCUAGGCUUGAAUAUUCUCCAUGGAGGUAGAUUGUUGAAGAUAGUGAAUGUAACCAUGAGGCCGUUAGCAUACGUAGUUCGAGGAACGGAACUACGGUUGGGUUCGUGGCAUGGACCCGUUGAUAUUUCUGUGGAACCGAUGGAUGAUUUCAAGCUAGUAUUGGGCUUGGACUUCUUGAGGAAGGUUAAUGUAAUUCUUAUGCCUUCUUUUGGUUCUAUGUGCAUUUUUUAGAAAGGAUCAUCAUGCAUGAUUCCUACCAUUUCCAUGGGGAUGGAAACGGGACAACUUUCGGCUAUGCAAUUAGCGAAAAGAUGGAAGAAGGGUGAGCAGACAUUCAUUGCUCAAUUGUCGAUUGCAAUUGAAGUCACCACUAAUAAUGAUGAUUUGUCGGAUGUUAUUACAAAAGUCCUUGAGGAAAAUAAGGAUGUGAUGCCCAAGAAAUUGCCAAGGAAACUUCUGCCUAGGAGGGAAGUUGAUCAUCGCAUUGAGUUAGAGCCCGGAGCCAAAC